CUGUCUAUUCAUACCACCCUGGAAGCGCCUGGUCUUGUCUGAUCUCAGGAGCUAAACAGGGUCAGGUCUGGUUAGCACCAGAAAGGGAGAAA
ensembl:rRNA 5S_rRNA 5S ribosomal RNA